CUUCUACCAAAGAAAUACCCUUCUUGAAUGUGUCCAGUGAUGUAUUCAUUUCCCCAAGAGUAUUAUCCCAUUGUUUGCCCAUGAAUGCUAGCAUCAUCAAGUAGAACUCUGUUUCUCUGUCUACUCUGUCCAUUAAGAGAAAGGGAAGGAAGGGAAUGGUGUUCACUUACUGAGCACCGUUUGUGUACCAGACACAUGUGAGAG
rnacentral:lncRNA from 10 species